CUCAGUUCGGAUCGGAGUCUGCAACCCGACUCCGUGAAGCUGGAUUCGCUAGUAAUCGCGCAUCAGCCAUGGCGCGGUGAAUACGUUCCCGGGCCUUGUACACACCGCCCGUCAAGCCAUGGAAGCCGGGGGUGCCUGAAGUGUGCAGCCGCAAGGAGCGCCCUAAGGUAAAACCGGUGACUGGGGCUAAGUCGUAACAAGGUAGC
rnacentral:rRNA from 1 species